UACGGAGGGUGCAAGCGUUAUCCGGAUUCACUGGGUUUAAAGGGUGCGUAGGUGGGCAAGUAAGUCAGUGGUGAAAUCUCCGGGCUUAACCCGGAAACUGCCAUUGAUACUAUCAAUCUUGAAUAUCGUGGAGGUCAGCGGAAUAUGUCAUGUAGCGGUGAAAUGCUUAGAUAUGACAUAGAACACCAAUUGCGAAGGCAGCUGGCUACACGAAUAUUGACACUGAUGCACGAAAGCGUGGGGAUCAAACAGG
rnacentral:rRNA from 1 species